GACGAACGCUGGCGGCGUGCUUAACACAUGCAAGUCGAACGGAAAGGCCCUGCUUUUGUGGGGUGCUCGAGUGGCGAACGGGUGAGUAACACGUGAGUAACCUGCCCUUGACUUUGGGAUAACUUCAGGAAACUGGGGCUAAUACCGGAUAGGAGCUCCUGCUGCAUGGUGGGGGUUGGAAAGUUUCGGCGGUUGGGGAUGGACUCGCGGCUUAUCAGCUUGUUGGUGGGGUAGUGGCUUACCAAGGCUUUGACGGGUAGCCGGCCUGAGAGGGUGACCGGCGACAUUGGGACUGAGAUACGCCCCAGACUCGUACGGGCGGCAGCAGUGGGGAAUAUUGCACAAUGGGCGGAAGCCUGAUGCAGCAACGCCGCGUGCGGGAUGACGGCCUUCGGGUUGUAAACCGCUUUCGCCUGUGACGAAGCGUGAGUGACGGUAAUGGGUAAAGAAGCACCGGCUAACUACGUG
rnacentral:rRNA from 1 species